rnacentral:rRNA from 1 species
AGAGUUGAUAUGGCUCAGGAUGAACGCUGGCGGCGUGCCUAACACAUGCAAGUCGAACGAAGCAUAGGAAAUGGAGAUUCGUCGAAAGGAACUAUGACUUAGUGGCGGACGGGUGAGUAAUGUAUGAGCAACCUGCCUUUCAGAGGGGGACAACAGUUGGAAACGACUGCUAAUACCGCAUAAUGUAUUUUGGGGGCAUCCCUGAGAUACCAAAGGAGCAAUCCGCUGAAAGAUGGGCUCAUAUCUGAUUAGUUAGUUGGUGGGGUAACGGCCUACCAAGACUGCGAUCAGUAGCCGGACUGAGAGGUUGAACGGCCACAUUGGGACUGAGAUACGGCCCAGACUCCUACGGGAGGCAGCAGUGGGGAAUAUUGGGCAAUGGGCGAAAGCCUGAACCCCAGCAACGCCGCGUGAAGGAUGAAGGUCUUCGGAUUGUAAACUUCUUUUAUGAGGGACGAAGGACGUGACGGUACCUCAUGAAUAAGCCACGGCUAACUACGUGCCAGCCGCCGC